GGCUAAGUCACUUUAUCUCUCCAGCCAUUGAAAGCUUGGAUUAAAUCAUAGGCUUUAGAGCUAGGUUCCAUGGAGCUUUGGAGUUCUGUUAUACCUGUCACAGGAUAGGGACCAUUGAUAAAAGAGACUCUUAGCAGAUGAGAAUCUGGACAUCUGGGCUCGGAGAAGCUUUGAUUUUACCUGUUUUUAUACACUGAUUUAAGGGAACCCACACAAUUAUACAAAAAUAAAUGAAACGGUCUCCCUAUAAUUGCAUGGCCAAAGACCAGAGAGAUCAACAGCAGUGUAUUAGUCAUAUGUACUCACAGACCACGGGAGAGGGACACCAUGCCAACAGGGUCACAUGGAGCCUGUGCUCAGGAACAGAGUGGAUGACAAGGAUUGUGGGAGGCGAGAUACAGGGGUUAGAGCACAAAUUGUGCAGUGCCCCUUAGCAUUUGAUUUUUACUGAAAGAUGGGAACCCAGAAAAGGGAU
rnacentral:lncRNA from 1 species